GCUGUAUCAAUGAAUGCCGACAAUAACCCUCAGAGCCGUGCUUGCAUUGUGAUUCUUAGCGUUCCCUGGUGAAAGCAGCGAGUUUUCACGGUGACAUUGAUGACUGAGAUGAUCCGCAUCAAAGAAAAUAAACAUUGAAAAUCACCUGUCGAGACCGCUGAAAUUUCAUUCACUGCUGGGGAGCUGCUACAGUGAAAACUCGUCGCUUCUGUGCGUCUGGACAUCCAUUGACGGCGAGAAUUCUGGAUCUGACAUCGGCCGAAGUUUGACGCAGCAUCAGAGUCAACGCCUCCAUGAGGAGUUGUCUUCGCGGUGGAUCCAAGUUUGCUUCAGAAACUGAAUCCAACAGAUGAUCGCUGGCUUGGUGAGAAAUUGACUUAUCAAACACGGAAACAACUUGGAGAUGACGUUACCUGACUUUUAUUGGCGUUUGUGAAAUUACGCCGAAUUAUUUAAAAGGUAACUGGACUAAUUAAGAGGAAGAAAAAAAAUAAAUAAAAUAAAA